GAACCUAGAUUUUUUUUUUUGGAUGUGAGUGAGUAUUCCUUCCCUGUUUGUUUCUUUUUCUAUUUUCACCACAAUAAUCUUUCCAGCUGUAGCACCAACUGUAACAGCUUCCAAUUAUCCUAUUGGACUACUGUGCUACACAAAAUCAUCAAGUGUAAUUACUACUUGAUUUAGUCCGUGGAACCUUUGGAGUAGGGAUGAUGAACAAGAACAGCCAAAGAGUUACAUGAAUAACAAAAUAAUCAGCAGAAUCGCCUCAGAGAAGGAUGUUACGAGGGACCAUGUCGAAGGCCUUACUGAAGCCCAGAUGGAUGACAUCAGUGACUCCUCCCUUGUUUACUGAUGACAUUGAUGAUGACAUUGGAAAAAGCAGAAUGAUUGGUCAUGCAUGGUAUUUUUUCAAUAAUAAUUUCAGUGAACUUCAGAAGAAAUGAAUUUUUGAAUUCUUUUCUGAAGUGCAGUCAUGCUGUAUCAUGAUCACUUAAAAUUUUAUGGAAUUAUAUGAAUAUUUUUCCAUGUAUAGAGAUUUAAUCUUUUCUCUAUUCAGAUACAAACUACCAAAAAAAACCAAAAAACAAACAAAGAAAAAAACCCACCCAUGUCUGUUGCUAAUGUUUUAUUACUAAAACAUGGAAAUAGUAUCUUUGUUAAUAUCUUUGUUAAUAUCUAAGUUAAUAUCCUUGGAAUAAAUAAAUUAAAUUCAGGUAUUGUACACAUAGCAUCUUUUCCACAUUCCGACUUUGAAAGCUGGUUAGUCUUUUCACUAGAAAAAAGAGCACAGGAAUAAGCAUGGAAUCUCAACAAGUCAUCUUUAUCAACCUCCAGCCCAAAAAAGAGCCAGCUCCAAAAUUAAAUCAAUUAUGUAUAAUGACCUUUGAAAAUUCUCCUGGGUAGAUGUUUUUGCAGCCUCUUUUUGCAUCCCCUCUGAUGUUUAACCUCCAUCACUUUGAAGAAUUCUGUUCUACUGGAGUAUCUUCUUUUUUUUUUUUUCCUGGCAAAAUUCAUUUGCUAUUUUUAAUGGAGGUGAAUCACUUGAUCAACAUUAUCUUCUUAAUAUUCCUGAACUUUCUCACAUGGAAAGCUUGUGAAGAAGUUACAAUGAUGUCUGGCAAUGAGUACAAAUGUAGAAAAAGUCUUUUAAAUGUGUAUCUUGCCUGCUGCUCCACACUGACCUGCUAGACGUUUUGAAUAUUUGCUAGGGAUAGUAACUGCAAUUAAUCUCAUUUUAAUUAGAUUUGUUUUUGGAAAGACCUUUCUGACUUUGACAGACUUCCACUCAAAAUUGCAUGAAGUGAAGUUACUCUUAUCAUAAACAACACUUGCAGCACUUUCUGUUCUGCAGCUGCUG
rnacentral:lncRNA from 7 species